UACGUAGGGUGCAAGCGUUAAUCGGAAUUACUGGGCGUAAAGCGUGCGCAGGCGGUUGUGCAAGACCGAUGUGAAAUCCCCGGGCUUAACCUGGGAAUGGCAUUGGUGACUGCACGGCUAGAGUGUGUCAGAGGGGGGUAGAAUUCCACGUGUAGCAGUGAAAUGCGUAGAUAUCAAGAGGAACACCGGUGGCGAAGGCGGCUCUCUGGAACAAUCCUGACGCUGAGGUGCGAAAGCUAGGGGAGCAAACGGG
rnacentral:rRNA from 1 species